AAGAGAAUGUCAAAAGGCGGUGUCAGGGCACUGUGGGCCUGGCAGAAGCGACCCAGUCAAAGAAAACACCCCCCAGAGUCAGCCACCGCGGAGAGGCAGCCAGGCUCCUGCAGACCAAACUGGCUGCUGUGAUUUCAGGCCAGCCUCCAUCCCCAGCGGAGCCGGUUCCUCCCAGCAUCCCAGCAUCCCUUCAGCCUCGGGGCAGACCCGGCUGCAGUCCAGGGGCCGAGCGCGGGGACCCCGCGGGAGGACCCUUCGCAUCUCGUCCCCCGCAAGCGCCGCCCGGACCCCGACCGUGGGGAGCGCCUCACUGCCGGACGCGGACGCGCCGUACCUUCCGCAGCACUUUCCGGCAGUUGGUGCAGAGCAGGUAGUUGGCCGAGGCCGACGCGCUGCUGCCACCGCGGUUCAUCGCGCCGAAGCCGGGCUGUCACCGCGGCCG
rnacentral:lncRNA from 1 species